rfam:Bacillus anthracis str. 'Ames Ancestor', complete genome.
UAUUAAUGACGGAAAGGAAUGAUGGGUGGACGAUGAUUAACUAAUCUUAUUUUUAAAUGUUGAAAUUCAAUAAAUUUCAAUUUCUAAAAAAUAGGAUUAGUCUGCCCAAUUUCCAUACAACGGUAUUGCUAUUUAUGUUGCGCAAUAGUUUAUUUGGGUAUAAAUAUUUUAACGACUAAUCCUGCCAAAUUUAUUUGGGAGGAUUUUUUA